rnacentral:rRNA from 1 species
UACGUAGGCAGCAAGCGUUGUUCGGAAUUAUUGGGCGUAAAGAGCUUGUAGGCGGUUUGUCGCGUCUGCUGUGAAAUUUCGGGGCUCAACCCCGAACUUGCAGUGGGUACGGGCAGACUAGAGUGUGGUAGGGGAGACUGGAAUUCCUGGUGUAGCGGUGAAAUGCGCAGAUAUCAGGAGGAACACCGAUGGCGAAGGCAGGUCUCUGGGCCAUAACUGACGCUGAGAAGCGAAAGCAUGGGGAGCGAACAGG